UGGGUCAGGUCUUGCUUGGUUUCAGUGU
rnacentral:piRNA from 1 species